GGGUACGACCAUACUUGGCCGAAUGCGCCAUAUCCCGUCCGAUUUGUGAAGUUAAGCGGCCGCAGGCCCCGUCAGUACGGCGAUCAAUUACAGUGCUGGAACUCGGGGUGCCGUACCCU
rfam:Trypanosoma theileri isolate Edinburgh TM35_Tth_4_V1, whole genome shotgun sequence.